rnacentral:rRNA from 1 species
UACGUAGGGGGCAAGCGUUGUCCGGAAUUAUUGGGCGUAAAGAGCUCGUAGGCGGUUGGUCGCGUCGGCUGUGAAAACCCGGAGCUCAACUCCGGGCCUGCAGUCGAUACGGGCCGACUUGAGUGUUGCAGGGGAGACUGGAAUUCCUGGUGUAGCGGUGAAAUGCGCAGAUAUCAGGAGGAACACCGGUGGCGAAGGCGGGUCUCUGGGCAACAACUGACGCUGAGGAGCGAAAGCGUGGGGAGCGAACAGG